rnacentral:rRNA from 1 species
AAUGAACGUUGGCGGCGUGGAUUAAGCAUGCGAGUCGAGCGAGAACCGUAGCAAUACGGGGACAGCGGCGAAAGGGACAGUAACGGGUAGAUUAUCUGCCCUCAGGUUUGGGAUAGCUGCGGGAAACUGCAAGUAAUACCAAAUAAUAUCUCCGGAUCAAAGGUGUGAUUCCGCCUGAGGAUGAGUCUGCCUCCUAUUAGCUUGUUGGUGGGGUAACGGCCUACCAAGGCAUUGAUGGGUAGCGGGUGUGAGAGCACGACCCGCGUCAUUGGGACUGAGACACUGCCCAGACACCUACGGGUGGCUGCAGUCGAGAAUCCUCGGCAAUGGACGCAAGUCUGACCGAGCGACGCCGCGUGUGGGAUGAAGGCCUUCGGGUUGUAAACCACUGUCAGAGGGGAUGAAAUGCAGGUGGGUACUCCCAUUUGUUUGACAUAGCCUCAGAGGAAGUACGGGCUAAGUUCGUGCCAGCAGCCGCCGUAACAC